rnacentral:tRNA from 1 species
CCGCGCUUAGCUCAGUUGGCUAGAGCACCUGACAGUAGAUCAGGGGGUCCCCGGUUCAAGUCCGGGAGCGCGGACCA